UUAAAUUAUGUUAUAUUCUCUGAUGAAAUUUUGAUGGAUUUUUUCUCUUUUUAAAUUGUUUUUAUUUCAUGAAAAUGGAACUUGGACAGUAGGAGUGCCAGGAAAUAAGAUGAAGAGAUUUUUUGAGGUUGCUUAUGUCCUUUUGUUGAUGUAUAUAGAGAUGGUGACUUCUGUGAAUGUAUCUUAGCACAAUUUUGAGCAUUGAUGACCUCGCUGAAUUUAACCACUAUAUUUGAGAUCUCAUUUCUCAGGUGGGAAGUCUCAAAUUGGAAAUAAAGAUGUUAGAAUUUGUGAUAUAUUUCCUCUUCAAUAUAUUGGUGUUUCACAUGUGCAAUAAAUUUUGAACGGUCUGUUGUUAGCUUGAAGGUAAUCGUCUUCGAAAAUUGACAUCUUUUUGGGUUCAAAAUAAUAUUUCAGUAUGGGGAGGAUAAAGUGUAACAACACCUUACCUCACCUCAUGCAAGUAGAUUCGUUGUUUCUGAAAUUUUCAUAGUUGUCUUAUUAUGUUGAUAUAAUUGUAUAAGUAAUUGAAGGGGUUGCAGCAGGGAUAUUAGUGUUCCAACAAAAGCAGAAGCUAUUAAAAAUUAUUUUGUCAAAGAAAAAUUGAAGUAAUUAGCAUUACACGCCUAAUGAAGAUGUUGAAAUUUAGGACCAUUGAAGAGAUUCCCUUGAAUAGUAGAAAAGGAAAGCAAGUUCAGUACAUAGUAUAAUUGAUCAAUUAUGUUUCAGACUGCUUCUGGAUCUUCAACAAAUUAAACUAAAAAUACAAAUAGUUAAUAUUCAUAUUGCUGAUGUUGAUAAUCACUUGGCUGCUGUGAAAAUGUUGAAAAUAUAAGCUCAUAGGGGUAUACUGAAUAUCAUGUGUAUCUGUUUUGAAGUUGUGAAUUUACUAUUCAGUUACUUUAAUGUAUAAAAAAAACUAAUACUUUUGUGACUUUAUUGUGUAGUAUACAAAAUUCAUGCUAUUUUGUGUGAUUUGGGACGAGCGUCGAUUAUGUGAUUAGAUGAAUUCUCAACUAGAGAUCAAAAUCAUGAUCAGAGCAAUUCUUGUGGAUUGACUGAUAGAAGCACACAAAAGUAAUCUGUUCGGUUGAAAGUUGUCAUGAACUCUGAUUCUCUGCUAUGUCUGCCUCUGCGGAUGGAUGACUUACUAACAAUAACACAUGAUGCUUAUGUCAAGGACCAAAUACUAAUGGAGAAAGCAAUUUGGAAAAGCUAGAGUGUGCAAAUUUACCACAAAAGAAGCAACAACAUCCGUGUGAAAAAAAACUGCUUGAGAAAAUGAAAGCGAAAGUAUUGCUCACAUUUGCAAGAUCAAAAAAACUUUUUAGGAUCUAUUGUUAAUAUUCUUGGCAUUGUUAAUACUCUAAUUCUCAACUAAAAAUUGUGUGAAGUUUAAAUUUUCGUCCAAAGCUCAUGAAGGCAGAUGUGAUUUCUUUUGGUUAA